rnacentral:rRNA from 1 species
AUUGAACGCUGGCGGCAGGCCUAACACAUGCAAGUCGAACGAGUGGCGGACGGGUGAGUAAUGUAUGGGAACCUGCCUGAUGGAGGGGGAUAACUACUGGAAACGGUAGCUAAUACCGCAUACCAUCAGAUGUGCCCAGAUGGGAUUAGCUAGUUGGUGGGGUACAGGCUCACCAAGGCGACGAUCCCUACCUGGUUUGAGAGGAUGACCAGCCACACUGGGACUGAGACACGUGCCAGACUCCUACGGGAGGCAGCAGUGGGGAAUAUUGCACAAUGGGCGCAAGCCUGAUGCAGCCAUGCCGCGUGUAUGAAGAAGGCCUUCGGGUUGUAAAGUACUUUCAGCGGGGAGGCGUUACCCGCAGAAGAAGCACCGGCUAACUCCGUGCCAGCAGCCGCGGUAAUUC